CCUACGGGAGGCAGCAGUGGGGAAUAUUGCGCAAUGGGCGUAAGCCUGAACCAGCCAAGUCGCGUGAGGGAUGAAGGUUCUAUGGAUCGUAAACCUCUUUUAUAAGGGAAUAAAGUGUGGGACGUGUCCUGUUUUGUAUGUACCUUAUGAAUAAGGAUCGGCUAACUCCGUGACAGCAGCCGCGGUAAUACGGAGGAUCCGAGCGUUAUCCGGAUUUAUUGGGUUUAAAGGGUGCGUAGGCGGCCUUUUAAGUCAGCGGUGAAAGUCUGUGGCUCAACCAUAGAAUUGCCGUUGAAACUGGGAGGCUUGAGUAUGUUUGAGGCAGGCGGAAUGCGUGGUGUAGCGGUGAAAUGCUUAGAUAUCACGCAGAACCCCGAUUGCGAAGGCAGCCUGCCAAGCCAUGACUGACGCUGAUGCACGAAAGCGUGGGGAUCAAACAGGAUUAGAUACCCUGGUAGUC
rnacentral:rRNA from 1 species